GGAUAGGUUAAUGUAGUUCUUCAUUUUGGCAAAAACUGGACAAGGUAGUGGGAAUACAUCUUAGAUCAGUGCUGCAGUCUAACAUCAGUGGCUACAUUUUACGACUUAUUUUUAAGGCAUUCAUUACAUAACUGUGGAUUACAUAACCAUAAUGAAGGUCAUGUAGAGCAGAUAAUUUCAGUUACAGGUGUUUUGUUAAAAUCACUUUAAUUUGUCACCCUUUUAAAGCUUUUUCCCAUGAUUAAGAGCGGUAACAUAAUCAGUAAUGGCUACUUAUUGCUAUAGACUUAAUAUUACAUAUGACUUCAGAGAUUCACUUUAACAUACCGAAAGGAAAGCAGGCAAAGCAUCCCUGAAGAUGGAGCCAAUCACAGGCUGUACUCUAUGUCCUGGGUUGAGAAGUGAGUACACUCAGUUAUUACCGCAAGAAAGUUAUACCCAAGUAAAACAAAUCUUCAGCUU